UACGUAGGGCGCAAGCGUUGUCCGGAAUUAUUGGGCGUAAAGAGCUCGUAGGCGGCCAGUUGCGUCCGCUGUGAAAUCCCGGGGCUUAACCCCGGGCGUGCAGUGGAUACGGGCUGGCUAGAGGCAGGCAGGGGAGAACGGAAUUCCCGGUGUAGCGGUGAAAUGCGCAGAUAUCGGGAGGAACACCGGUGGCGAAGGCGGUUCUCUGGGCCUGUACUGACGCUGAGGAGCGAAAGCGUGGGGAGCGAACAGG
rnacentral:rRNA from 1 species